rnacentral:rRNA from 1 species
AUUCCCCUAGUAACUGCGAGUGAAGCGGGAAAAGCUCAAAUUUAAACUCUGGCGGUCUCUGGCCGUCCGAGUUGUAAUCUAGAGAAGUGUUAUCCGCGCUGGACCGUGUACAAGUCUCCUGGAAUGGAGCGUCAUAGAGGGUGAGAAUCCCGUCUUUGACACGGACUGCCAGGGCUUUGUGAUGCGCUCUCAAAGAGUCGAGUUGUUUGGGAAUGCAGCUCCAAAUGGGUGGUAAAUUCCAUCUAAAGCUAAAUAUUGGCGAGAGACCGAUAGCGAACAAGUACCGUGAGGGAAAGAUGAAAAGAACUUUGGAAAGAGAGUUAAACAGUACGUGAAAUUGCUGAAAGGGAAACGCUUGAAGUCAGUCGCGUUGGCCGGGAAUCAACCUUGCUUUUGCUGGGCGUACUUUCCGGUCGACGGGUCAGCAUCAAUUUUGACCGUUGGAUAAAGUCUAGAGGAAUGUGGCAUCUUCGGGUGUGUUAUAGCCUCUGGUCGCAUACAACGGUUGGGAUUGAGGAACUCAGCACGCCGCAAGGCCGGGUACUCGUACCACGUUCGUGCUUAGGAUGCUGGCAUAAUGGCUUUAAUCGACCCGUCUUGAAACACGGACCAAGGAGUCUAACAUGCCUGCGAGUGUUUGGGUGGAAAACCCGAGCGCGUAAUGAAAGUGAAAGUUGAGAUCCCUGUCGCGGGGAGCAUCGACGCCCGGACCAGACCUUUUGUGACGGUCCCGCGGUAGAGCAUGUAUGUUGGGACCCGAAAGAUGGUGAACUAUGCCUGAAUAGGGUGAAGCCAGAGGAAACUCUGGUGGAGGCUCGUAGCGAUUCUGACGUGCAAAUCGAUCGUCAAAUUUGGGUAUAGGGGCGAAAGACUAAUCGAACCAUCUAGUAGCUGGUUCCUGCUGAAGUUUCCCUCAGGAUAGCAGAAACUCAUUUCAGAUUUAUGUGGUAAAGCGAAUGAUUAGAGGCCUUGGGGUUGAAACAACCUUAACCUAUUCUCAAACUUUAAAUAUGUAAGAACGAGCCGUCUCUUGAUUGGACCGCUCGGCGAUUGAGAGUUUCUAGUGGGCCAUUUUUGGUAAGCAGAACUGGCGAUGCGGGAUGAACCGAACGCGAGGUUAAGGUGCCGGAAUUCACGCUCAUCAGACACCACAAAAGGUGUUAGUUCAUCUAGACAGCAGGACGGUGGCCAUGGAAGUCGGAACCCGCUAAGGAGUGUGUAACAACUCACCUGCCGAAUGAACUAGCCCUGAAAAUGGAUGGCGCUUAAGCGUGAUACCCAUACCUCGCCGUCAGCGUUGAAGUGACGCGCUGACGAGUAGGCAGGCGUGGAGGUCAGUGAAGAAGC